AUUUUCUGCCACCGAAUACAUUAGCAUGGGAUAAUGGAAUAGGACCCUGUCCUCCUAUUUUCAGUUGGUUUUGGCAGCGCGAGGACUAGGGUAAUGAUUAAUAGGGAUAGUUGGGGGCAUUAAUAUUUAAUUGUCAGAGGUGAAAUUCUUGGAUUUAUGAAAGAUUAACUUCUGCGAAAGCAUCUGCCAAGGAUGUUUUCAUUAAUCAAGAACGAAAGUUAGGGGAUCGAAGACGAUCAGAUACCGUCGUAGUCUUAACCAUAAACGAUGCCGACCAGCGAUUAGGAGACGUUGAAUACAAAACACCACCAUCGGCGCGGUCGUCCUUGGCGUCGGUCUUUCGGGGCCGGCGCGAGGGCGGCUUAGCCCGGUGGCACCGGUGAAUGACUCCCCUAGC
rnacentral:rRNA from 1 species